UGAGGCGCGGUGGUGAGAAAAAAUAGACGAUUUUGGCAGAAACAUUUUUCUUGAUGGUGUUUUUGCCUUCCACCAAGUUUGGUAAGCACCCAAUCCUUUCAUGUGGGUCUAAAAGAGGUAUUUUAUGAGAGGGGUGGGUGGGUUAGAGUUGGAUACAAUUGUAUCCAAUUCUUUCAUCCUUUAUAGUAUAGAUAUUGUAUUUGAGAUUUAGAUAUAUUUUAUGUUAUUGAAAAUAGAAGUUCAAUGCCUAUGGAGAUACUUUAUUUCAAUGAAGAUUAACUAGGAAACUGAUUAGCAAUAUUAAGUAGGAGAAGCAUUUUUCUGCUGCUCCUUGAGAUUGAAUUGCUAUAUUAUUACUAAAUAGAUUUAAUUUUUGUGGUUUGAUGCAAACUAAUUAUUUUUAAAUGCCUUUUCUUUAAAUUGGCACAUGGAUCACCACUAUAUUAUUAACAGAAAAUAAUUUAGAUCAAAUGAACCCAGAGGGCUAUGGACCAAGAAGAUGAUGAAGCACGUGUAUUUCAUCACUAGGUACGAAUAUACUGGAGAUCCAGAUAUUGGCUCCAAACCUUCAGAUCAAUAUGAUGCAGUGUAGAAGGAUCCCACUGGUACGGUGGACAUGAACACAUGCAGUGCGUGGUGUGAGCCAGACGUAUAUAUGGGCUAUAUUUGUGGAGUGCUGUUGCGUUCAUAGGCCGGUGAAUGAACAACAUAAUUUUUUCUUUUUAUUUACUUGUAUUUUAUAAUUGUUUUCUUAGUGGAGUUCAGUAAUGUAGCAUGUUUGGAUUCUAAAGGAGCCAAAACCGGUGAAUGAACAACCUAAUUUUUUCUUUUUAUUUACUUGUAUUUUAUAAUUUUUUUUCUUAGUGGAGCUCAGUGAUGUAGCAUGUUUGGAUUCUAAAGGAGCCAAAUCUACAAUGAAGUACUUAUAUGACUAUACGAUGGGCGGCUCGAGUCAUUAUGAAAUACCGUCUGCGGAUU